GUACUACUCCCUCCGUCCGAAAAUACUUGUCAUCAAAAUGGAUAAAAAGGUUUGUAUGUAGAACUAAAAUACGUCUAGAUACAUCUCCUUUUAUCUAUUUUGAUGACAAGUAUUUCUGGACGGAGGGAGUACAUC
rfam:Triticum aestivum genome assembly, contig: Triticum_aestivum_CS42_TGACv1_scaffold_602655_7DL